UGGGUUUUCAGUCAAAAAGAGGGUUUCUGAGGAAAUUGGUGAAAGCGUGUGAGAGAGAAUAAUUAGGGUUUGGAAAUCGUGAGGUUGAGGUUGAGGUUGAGCUAGCGAAGAUGAUUGAGGUGGUUCUGAACGAUCGGCUAGGAAAGAAGGUGAGAGUGAAGUGCAACGAGGACGACACCAUCGGAGACCUGAAGAAACUCGUGGCGGCGCAGACGGGUACCCGGUCCGAGAAGAUCCGGAUCCAGAAGUGGUACAACAUCUACAAGGACCAUAUCACCCUUAAGGACUAUGAAAUCCACGACGGCAUGGGCCUCGAGCUUUACUACAACUAAAUCAAUCGUGUUGAUUAAGUAGAGAAGUUGGAGUUUUGGCCUAGUGAAGGAAGGAGGUGCGGUAACCAAUGGGGGUUGGCAUUCGUAUCAAAAAAUGCAUUGCAAUCGGAAAUGUCUUUGAUCUGUAGGUCAGUAGGGAUAUAUAUUUUGUGUUAUGUAAGAGACAAUGAAGUUGCAAAGUACUGAUGUGUCCCCUGUCAUGUAACAUCUUAAUGGGCAGAUAUGUAAACUAAAUAUUUGAACACCAUUUACUUGUUAAGCGAUGUAUGUUUGAUGCUUUGCUAUAUAUACCAUAUCAUCUAUGGAUUUAACUGCUA